CGGAAGGGGGAGUUGUCGGCCUUAUUCUCAAUGAAGCUGUCGGAAAGGAAACGUCGAAGCAUCUUUAUUGAUAUCCCUCCUUUUCAGAGAAAACCGCUACGAGCUACAGAGCCAAACUAGGCCGGACCGAGUGGCUGCUUCUUUUCACGUCCACUGCUGCUGGAAGCUGUUUCCACAUGGCACACAAGUGUGAAAUUGAGAAACAAUGUGUGUGUGUGUGCGUGUGCGUGUGUGUGCAUGUGGCUAUGUGUCAAAACAGUGAUGAUGGUGAGCAGUACAGAUCUGUAUUAAGCUGAAAAAGGAAAAAGCACAUCAUUAACUGGUGGGCCAGCUGCCAUCGCUGCAUUACCGGCUCUUCAAUCUCAAGGUGUGGUCACAAGCCAAGGGCAAAAGUUCUCUGGUGUCCCCUCUGAGCGUGUGAAUGAUGGACCCCUCCCGCCCAGGCCGGGAUUAGCAGUGGCUUGGUGGAGGGCACAGAGCCGAUACAUUGCAGCUUUUUCAUCUCACGGCAGGGUGAAAGAGGGAUGCAGGGGGGAUUUAGAGUCAACAAUUCACCUCACCUGUAUGUCUGUGGUCUGUGGGAGGAAGCCGGAGUACUUGGAGAGAACAUGCAAACUCCACACAGAAGGGCCUCAUCUUGCUGGUGGGUUUGAACCCAGAACCCUCUUGUUGUGAGGCGACAGUGCUAACCACUGCAACACUGUGCCGCCCAUAAAAGUCCUGCAAUAAAACAGUUACUUAAAGAAACAUACUGACACACACUGUGGAAUAAAUACAGUGAUGACGCAUGCCAUCACAUGCCUCAUAAACCCUGAUGUUACCACUCCAAUAUUACCAUAGGCCGUAGGCAAACGAGAGAGACCGCCAUAGAGACCAGAAGGAAGAGAGAGAGGUGCACAUGGGUGAGCUGUGAUGAUGAAUUGAUUGAUGAAUGCAAAUGAAGAUGAAUGCAUGUGGCAAAUACAGAUAACAAGAGGAAUAUGAAGAGUACAGCGGCUGGUUCACCUUUUCCCCGUAGCAGAAAAUAUGAAUAGCUGAUGUGUAUCUGGCCUAUUAAUACCACAGCAGCGACAGUGAACACACCACUGAACCAGAUAUGGAUACCUUAUCACAAAUCAUGUGGCCCAGGAACAACGGGCACUAGUCCGUCUAUACCAUCUGAAGCCUAAUCGCCUCACAUCCUAACCUUUAUUGCCAUAUGAACAGAGUCCCAAAACUGGCUGUACAUCAGUGUACAUGUAGAGUAAGUAGCAGCAGUUUAUUUUCUUAGUUGUUUGUCCCCAGUGCAACUUCAUGCUCAUUCCAUCACAAAACAUGCUGGCUGGAAACAACCGGGUGGAAACCACGGUAUGUACAGUAUGUGUGUGUGCACGCCUUUGUUUGUGUUUGUGCUAGAACUGAAACGAUUAGCGAGUCAUUUAAUUUGUUGAUAAUUACUUGAAAACUAUUUUGAUAGUCAAUUAAUCAUUUCAUUUUUCAAGAUAAAAAUUCCAAAACAUUUGCUGGUUUUGGACUGUUGGUCAGACAAAACUAGCAAUACAUCACACUGAGAUUUAGGAUAUUGUGAUAGAUAUUUUUCACUAUUUUCUGACAUUUUAUAGUAUAAAUGAUUGGUUAUUCAUGAAAAUAAUCAAUAGAUUAAUCAUUAAUGAGAAUAAUUGUUAGUUGCAGCCAUAAUUUGUGCCCCCGUGUGAGCAAAGUGAAGCCUACAUGUUUGCAUUUGUUGUGUGUGUAACUUUUCUGUGUCAGUGGAUUAAAGGGUCACUUCUAUGUGUGUUAUUUAUCCACAUAGGAAUCAGAACUCAGCUUUUAUGUUGGGAGUUUUUUUUUAUUUAUUUAUUUUUAACUAUUUUCUACUAAAGGAAAACUGUGACAACUGUUGACAGCUUGUUCUCCAGAUAAUCAAGAGUAAUGAGGACACUGAUUGUGGAGUGAGAUGUUGCUGUUGAAUUUUUUAAAGUUGAAUUUUUCAGUGCUGUGAGAACCACAAAAAAAGAUUAGACUCCAUUGUAUUAGGCAGAAAACAAAACUAUCUGCAUGGCCAUAGAGGCAAGUGAGAAAAUCUGUUUUGUUUGUUUGUUUUUUCAUGUGUGUGUAUGUGUAAUUUUGGUGAACUGA